UACGUAGGGUGCAAGCGUUGUCCGGAAUUAUUGGGCGUAAAGAGCUCGUAGGCGGUUUGUUGCGUCGGCUGUGAAAUCCCGAGGCUCAACCUCGGGUCUGCAGUCGAUACGAGCAAACUAGAGUGUUGCAGGGGAGACUGGAAUUCCUGGUGUAGCGGUGAAAUGCGCAGAUAGUCAGGAGGAACACCGGUGGCGAAGGCGGUUCUCUGGGCAUUACCUGACGGCUGAGGAGC
rnacentral:rRNA from 1 species